AAACUACCCAGAAUGUUAAAGUCUUUAGCACUUGACUUUGAAACGCUUUGAAUUACUUGAGUGGAAGAACCCAUGGCCUCUCUGCAGCGCAUCUAUAAAAUAUUAAAACACUUGUCUGUCUUCCCAGACAUUUUGUGUUUUUCACAUUGUCCUCCUUUCAGAGUUACAAGUUGACUUUAAUGACAAUAAUUAAUCAAAUAAUAA